rnacentral:lncRNA from 1 species
CGGCGAGCAGAUAACACCCACCCACCCCCUCCUCCUUACUUGACCUAGAACCUGGCCUCGGGCUGACGCCUCCUGCUCCCUCUCGCUGUCGCGUCUCUCGGCGAUCCUCUCCAUCGACGCCCCGGCUAGCCGCCAUCGUUUCCCGGCGACCAGAUCGAUGUCAAUCCCAUCCUCCUUGAUCUCCCUAUCGGGCGUCGGGAGAUCUACGUGGGGACAUGGUAAGCUCCUUUGCCUCCCCUUUACAUACAUAUUUUUUUUCGAUGCUGGUUUCUUAUUCACCGGUUUAUUUACCCCUCAACUCUUUCCUUGCAAAUCAACACUUUCCAAACGUGCACGCAAUCACGGAUCUAAAUUUACUAACUUAUCCAAAUCAACCGAUACCUUCCAUUAUUGCAAAUUCCUUUAGGAAAUAAAUAAUAGAUUUAAGGAAACAAAUAAAAGAUUUUAAAGAUGCAUCAUACUUUACUAACAAUCACUAAAAAUCAAAUCUAAAUUAAUUAGCCUUACCUUAAAUCACUCAAUCACUUUAAUUAGAAAACAUUUUCUUUCCUAACUGCAGUUGGUAGUCUCACUUCCAGGGUUUUUUUCGUCCCACCACUUUCGUCCGGGUUUUUUUUCGUAGGUUAACCGUCGUAGAUUUUUUUCGAUGCUGGUUUCUUAUUCAUCGGUUUAUUUACCCCUCAGCUCUUUCCUUGCAAAUCAGCACUUUCCAAACGUGCACGCAAUCACGGAUCUAAAUUUACUAACUUAUCCAAAUCAACCGAUACCUUCCAUUAUUGCAAAUUUCUUUAGGAAACAAAUAAUAGAUUUUAAGGAAACAAAUAAAAGAUUUUAAAGACGCAUCAUACUUUACUAACAAUCACUAAAAAUCAAAUCUAAAUUAAUUAACCUUACCUUAAAUCACUCAAUCACUUUAAUUAGAAAACAUUUCUUUCCUAACUGCACCCCGCUUAGUGUGCACAUAACAAUCUGAAGUAAUUAGAGUCACAUGAUUGAAUCCAUUUAUUUAGAGCGACAUGAUUGGAUUCAUUUAUUAACAAUAAUCCUCACAAAAAGUGCGUUUAGCAAUUAUAGAGGGCGGACCAAAACUCUGCCAUCCGCUCGCCCGCAUUUGUUUAGGUACAGGAAAAAAUGGCAUAAUAUAUGGAAACAACACGACCGGGGCGGCGGCACAAUCUUCAGGGAUAGGGGAUCGGAGGAGAAGGAUUGGCCUGGCAGCAUGAUCGGGGUGCUUCCCCGCGGCCGCGGCCGUCCUCGCGAUGCCACCUACCCGAAAUCAACGCUGCUCCCUGCCGUCAGCUGAGGCGACGCCUCCUACCCUCCUACCCACGGUCCGCUGCCGCGUGCGGCUACGGCGGGAGGAGUAGCGACGGGGCCGAGGUCCUUCAUGCAUUCCAGGAUGGAGGCCAUGAUUUCGUCGAGGUCGUUGCUGCCUCCUACACUCAGGGUGUGUUGCGAGAUCGAGGCGAGCAUGAGGAGCUGUGGCCACCGCCAUGGUCACCCCAUCGCAGGGGAUGGAGCACGCCGUCGGCCUGCAGCUUGUGGAGAUCACUGUUGCUCUUCAGGUCGCGUGGUGACCGGAUCUUGCCGAUGUGUCCCUCCCCGACGACCUCCACUUCGCCCGGUUGGCUGGCAUGGAUCUCGCCACUGCUGCCGUCAACUUCUCUGCCUCGAGCUCGAUGGUCAGCCACCAUGGAUCCCCCAGCUGGAGGGUCACGUGAACCAGCCGUCCUCCCAUGCUGCAGCGGCGAUAAGGUGACAUGGCUCUCCGUACACGAAGAGUGGAGUUGAGUCAAGUGCUUAUAUACUUGGCCUCUACUGCUGAUCCAUGUACAUGGAGAAGAACAAACAACCGCUCAUUCAUGCUUCGUUCCACUCCUUUGCGCUACAUUACUGGAGGUGACAUUUUCCUAUCUCUCUAUGUUGUAACAAGCCUGCUGCCUGCAUAGUUAAUGGAUUUUUUUAUUUAAAUUUAUCACUGCUUAGUGCUUUGUUGCAAUUGUUCACCCAAGAUUCUUAUAUAUAAUCUGAGCGUAUGUAGGCAUACUUAGCUUUGCUAUUCCAUUUUUUCUGGUGCAUAGAAAUAAGAGUAUUGUCCAGGUUAGGUAUUCAAUUGAGUAUGGUAUUUGGAUUGCUAUCAGAAUGUCUUUUCUAUGCAUGUGAUUUCUCACAUCUGGUUAUAAUAUUUGUGAAGACGUGCAUUGCACGUGCACUUGGAAGCGGGCCCGUGGCUGGACGGCGCCAAUGCUGACCCGAGCCACCUCGUCCACGUAUUCUUGGAGUUGUGGCUGGUCGAUUUACAUGAAAUUAAUUCCCUCAGUUCUGGUGGCAAAUAUAAUACACAUAAUUCAUAUUGUUAUGCACUAGCGUGUAUGUGUGAAAUAGAUGGAUUAUGGUUCCGUAUCCAAUAAGAUGGAUAUGUGUGUGUUAGAGAGAGAGAGGGAGAGGGGGAUAGAGAGUGAGGAAGAGGGAGGGAGAGUGUGUGUCUGUGUGUGUGAGGAUUUGAUGGUAAAAAAGGUCGCCAAUGUCAUAAUAUUGAACUCUUAAAGUUAACUAGUAGAAGGCCCGUGCGUUGCCACGGGCUUUUAAAUAUUUUUACCGUGUGCAUAUAUAAACAUAAUGCAUAUCAAGUUUUACGUGUAAACAUAAUUGAAAUCCAUAUCACACAAAAUAUUCUUCGAUACAAAAUGUAAUUCGAUAAUGUAUGCAUAGAAAGACACGCGAUUCACAAAAUAAAGAAAGUGGUACAGAAACAUAGUACUCUUUAUUGUGCACUAUAUUACACAAGGUAGAUAGCAGCCUACAUGACUUUUAUGCUUAAGACCAAUCAUCUCACGAAGCAUUUCCAUUGUUAUUAACCAUUAAUUAAAGACAACAGAUGGAGCAUUUUGUUACGUUUAAACAAAUAUUCCAAGAUGCUGCAACCAGAACCUUAAUACAUUAUGGAAUUUCCUAACAAAUAUUACAUAGACCCAAAUAUACAGCACAACAUCCAAUAAAAAAUCAUUAUAAUACACACCAUCUAACUUAAAAGUCUGGCAUAUGAAAAUUUAGACCUCCGAUAGAAAACGCUGAAUUUCAGCAGGAAAUAUCAAAUACAUACUUCCCUGUCCGAUGUAUAAAUAUGUGUAAUUCUCAAUUGAUGCACUUUUGAAAUCUUCUAACUCACAUAACACCAUAAUUACAGUGAUUGUGCAACAUAUUUUUUAGAAAGCAUGCAUAAGCCUUUGAGUAUAAACACAACUUUUGGUAGGGAGUCAAUAACACCCAUAGGUAGCCAAGCCUUUGAGUAUAAACAAAAAUGAUUUCUCAAGCUUUCUUUUGCUUCAUGGAGCUAUAAUUAUUGCUAACAGAAACAAAAUAGAAAUCACAUGAUAAAAAAGAAACAACGCAAUAGGAGAAAAUGAGGCAUACUACGUGGCCAUGUCGCUGACCUGGCCAUCACAACCUCCGAGACCAAGGGGCGAGGAGGUGGCGGCAUCAGCUCCAAUGAACCUAUGACACCAAAAUGAUUAUGUUUGCCGUCCUCGAUCGUCGGCAUCAUCGACUCAGUGGUCGGUCCCCUUGUAUCUUCUUCCCCAUGGAUCGGGAUUGAUUCGACAUAGGAUCAGAACAACAGACAAAAUCAAAAGUCACAAAGAAUUGUAGCCUAGUAAUGCUCAGCAGCUAAAUUAAGAAAUAUCGGUAACACAUGCAUAUCUAUUAAUGAUAUUAGUGAACAAUGCAAAAGGCAAAGGAUUCCAUUUGUCGCAAUUAGUACACACGACAACUACUUCAUAAGUUCAUAUGACCAAUCAGUUAGACCACAUGGUUAAAUUCAUUCAUAGAUGAACAAUAGAUGAACAACUAACAAAAGUCGAGAAGGAUCCUUACAAAAACAAUGAUUGGUCAGGAAUUUGGAAGGAGGGAAGGUCUAUUAUUAACGCUAGUGAAGGCGCAUGUCAUGCCAACUCUACAAAGUUAAUUCCAUUUACAAAAAUCACAUCGGAAAAGUAUUGUGCAUUCAUGUUCUAGUCUUAAUAUCCCUUAGGUAAUCUUGUUUUUAGCUGAACGACGAUCAUGUCAAGCUAAACGAAGAGGACGCCGACAGGGCCACAUUGUUCCCUGCCCACCACCGCCCACUUCCACACGCCACCAUCCAUGUUCACCGCCUGGAUGCCGGCCCCAGCUCUCAAGCCCCUAGAACCGGUGCGCCCACGGGUCGCCGCGUUGGGUAUGUACCUGCUGCCACCGUGUUGGACCUUCUCGUCCUACAAUGCAAUAGCCAUUGCCUUAGUUGUCUACAUCAGACAUCUGAAAUGAAACAAAAGUCAAAUGCUACUAAUUAGACGUAAUACAUCAAAAUGUCAAACAGAGUCAACACUUUAAUUAUGCUUCAUAGGAUAAGAAUCAAACAUACAUAGUUAAACCAAAUACUUAACAAAGUGUCAACAACAUUUCACAGAUUUUUUCAGAAUUUUUGAAGCACUAACCUGGCUUGGCUCAAUGCCAAUGUGGUUCAGCAUAUCAAUGCAUAGAUGUAGGAAUCAUCCUUGUACUCUGCACAAACAAGGGGAAAACAUGAGCUUUCAUGUUUCCGUGUAUUAUAGUUGAGCAGAAGCGAUACAUGGAGAGUAGUAUGAAUGUACAACAGUGGGAAAGUUGAGGUUCCCUGGGCUGAAUGUCGAUGAAAGGUGCCUCCCAUUUGCCCUUGUAGUCCAGGUUCCUAAUUAUCUGACUACACAAAUAUCCCAUGUCAGAAGUUGCAAUGCCAAUGCACACUGCUGUUUGUCUACAAUUUGACUAUCUAAUCUUACUCUAGCAGAAGUACCUUUUGCAUCCAUGGUCUCUUGCACCGGGGUACGUACCAAACUCCUAAUUUCUUACAACUGAUGAUAUUGUUAGGCGAUGGAAUUUGGAGUAACUUCUUGCUGACAAAUGAUGAUAUUGUUGGGCAUUAAAUUAAUUGAACCACCCAAACUACUUUCAAUCCUUUCUCGAAAGACAAAUCAAGGAAGGAGACCACGAGAUAGAAAAAGAGAGAAACUUACCAUUAAGAUAGAGGACAAGUCAGGCAGUCUUGCACAUGGUGUUGGUAGGCAGCACCGCCGUUGUCGGGACAGUUCGCGCCCCAAAUCCAUAUCCUCCAUUUUUGCAAGAUUCUGUACACCACAUCUUUCUUACUAAAGUGGGAGAAACCAUAAAUCGACUAUCAAUCAUCAUUAAGUGUAGAAUAUGGUCAUUAAAAUUCAUUAAAAUCAUUGCACAUCGCUUGCUUGAUUCUCCUCUAUUAAAUUAGCAUUCAUCACGGUGCCUUCUAAAGACAAGGCAUGACAGAAACACAAAGCACAGCCCAAGCACAUUGGUUUAUGUACCAUACUCAUUGUAAAAAAUUAGAAGCUUCUGUAAGAUGUGACACUGUUUACAUGUUUGGAGUGAAUUGCAUCCUCGUACAAAGGAUAGAAGAACUGAAUGCUUAUCUCUACUCCUAAUGGACGAAUUGGUUGAAUAGUCCCCCAACUUUCAACCGGUUUAUUUUCAACCGGGUUUUUUUCAUCAAAUUACCCCCACCCCCACGCCCACCCACCGAAACGCGCCCAGCGAACCGGGGAGAGAUCCGUUGAUUUGGCUAAGGUAGGAAAGAAUCUAUUAUUUGUUUGCUAAAGCAAAUUGCAUUAAUGGAAGAGAUCCGUUGAUUUGGCUAAGGUAGGAAAGAAUCUAUUCUUUGUUUCCUAAAGAAAAAUUGCAUUAAUGAGAGAGAUCCGUUGAUUUGGCUAAGGUAGGUAAGAAUCUAUUCUUUGUUUCCUAAAGAAAAAUUGCAUUAAUGAGAGAGAUCCGUUGAUUUGGCUAAGGUAGGUAAGAAUCUAUUAUUUGUUUCCUAAAGUAAAUUGCAUUAAUGGGAGAGAUCNNNNNNNNNNNNNNNNNNNNNNNNNNNNNNNNNNNNNNNNNNNNNNNNNNNNNNNNNNNNNNNNNNNNNNNNNNNNNNNNNNNNNNNNNNNNNNNNNNNNNNNNNNNNNNNNNNNNNNNNNNNNNNNNNNNNNNNNNNNNNNNNNNNNNNNNNNNNNNNNNNNNNNNNNNNNNNNNNNNNNNNNNNNNNNNNNNNNNNNNNNNNNNNNNNNNNNNNNNNNNNNNNNNNNNNNNNNNNNNNNNNNNNNGUAGGAAAGAAUCUAUUAUUUAUUUCCUAAAGAAAAUUGCAUUAAUGAGAGAGAUCCGUUGAUUUGGCUAAGGUAGGAAAGAAUCUAUUAUUUGUUUCCUAAAGCAAAUUGCAUUAAUGGGAGAGAUCCGUUGAUUUGGCUAAGGUAGGAAAGAAUCUAUUAUUUGUUUGCUAAAGGAAAUUGCAUUAAUGAAAGAGAUCUGUUGAUUUGGCUAAGGUAGGAAAGAAUCUAUUAUUUGUUUCCUAAAGAAAAUUGCAUUAAUGAGAGAGAUUUGUUGAUUUGGCUAAGGUAGGCGGUUUUUGCGGUUCUUGGCGGCUCAGUGUGAGGUGGGGCGAGGUACAAAAAAAAUAUCAUGGAAGGUGAGACGGAAAAAAACCUGGGAGGUGGGAGUUGUCCCUGGUUAACCUACGAAAUUUCAUAGAUUUUUUUAGGACGAAAAAAACCAGUGGAGGUGGGACGAAAAUUGGCCGGCGGAGACUACCACCUCCCACUACUGACUUUUUUUCAUCCGGUUUUAUUUCAUCCCACCUCCCACUGCUGACUUUUUUCUUAAUUAAUAACUCCACCCUCCUGCUGGUUUUUUCUAAUCUAAUUCAAUCUAUUGAUCCUUCCUUAGUCACAAUGCACUUACAUGUAGCCCCGACAGAUCGGUUUCCAUAUGAAAUAAAAUACAAUCAUCAAUCAAUCCUUGGUUCUCUUUUAUAGGACUUGUUGCCAUACAUGAACCAUACGAUAACUUCCAUAUACAAAAUAAAGGGAAACACAAUCAGGUUUCCUUCCUUUCCAAAGUUCUAGCCACCUACCCCCUCCCCAGACCGCGUUCUUUUUCCCAUGCCACCAUCGACAAUCUGCUCUCCCAUUUCCUCGUCCUCCCCACGUUGUGAAGUUCCAACGCACAACUACACAAACACCAGUGACAUAGAAAACCACCGCCUCCUCCUCCGCGCCACCGCCUACUCUAUUUUUCCCCUCUGUGUGGCGACCUGAAUGGAAGGCGGUGGAUCUGGGAUGCGCCUGGUUCCACAAGACGUCAGGCGUAAGGAAGGAUGGAAAACCACCGGCUGGAUGGCCAAGGGUGGCCCAUUGAAGGUUUGAAACCUCCUAUGGCGUAAUUUUGUGCAACCUGCAUGAAGAUUGUAGGAGCUAUCCAUGUGGUCGUUCCAUCGGCAACAAGUACGUAUUGGAUAGCACAUAAUUUGAAAUUCUUGACGGAGUUGACUGACCAUGACUUUGACUCUCACAAUGUUGCAUGUUCUUCGGAGUUGACUGGUGGCGUUUUUAGGUUAUUACUACCAUGAAGAUGAGAGGAACAUCGAGAAAAAUCCUUUCCCUAAAAAAUGGAUGGGAGGAAUAUCUUGGUCUAUGAUUUCAUGAUGAAUAGGACCCUGAGAAAGCAGUGGAUGAUGCCCCGUUGAUUCUCUUUGAAUUCGGCUACUGUGGGAAUGUGUAUAGUCAGGCUUGGAGUGAGCGCUCCAUGCAUGUGUGUCAGUGGCACUCAGAGAUUGGUUGUGCCGCUCUUGUGAGGGUGUGUGGGAGUGGUGUGCUCGAGACACGCCAAUCUUCUGAGCAGGUGCGGAGAUGAGUUGCACAAGAGAAACAUUGGUGGGAUGAACCCAAACCUUUAUUUUUUUUCUAAUAUGAAUUAUCCUUCCUUCUUAGAAAAACAUGUUUUGAGUAAAGUUAUCUUUACUAUAGACAUAUAUUGACAAUUAAUCAAGUAUCAACAUCAUUGCAUGCUUAUUGCGUGGAAUGUGUGUCCCAAUGUUGACAGAAGGUAUAAAAAGAUUGUCUUGGAAUUAUUAUUUUCUUGGGAAGAUAUUGCCCUGAAUUCUCAUUUCUCAUCAGAAAUUUAGUAUCCAUUUUCGUUGAUCUUAUUUGCAACAUGUACAAGUCAGUAAUAAUCUAAGGGGGUGCCCUACCGGAGAAGAUUAUGAUAGUUGGACAAGAAACUUGGUACUGUCGUGCAAGGUAGAGGUAGGAGAAAUAGGAGAUAAAAGCAUGCAUGGUGGGAGAAGGAAGUCGAGUGUCGCGUGGUAGCUCAGACAUGGAGUGUGGAAGAAAGACAAUGACGAGAUGUAUGUACCUACUAGAUCAUGACCAUGAGAUAUCAUCCCAUAAAAAUGGCCUUUGACUCUCAUGUCACAUGAAUUUUCUCUUUGUAUAUAUAUAUUUGUUAGUCUGUGGCAACGCACGGACACUUAGCUAGUGUACUUAUAAAAUACAAAAACGAAAAGGGUAAUUAAAUCAUGUUGGGUUAAAAACCUUACGUUCCCAUGGUUCUUUCUCAGAUCAAAGAACUCAAAAUAUCAGCAGUGGAUAUUGGAGCCAGGAGAAGAAACGACGUGACCUUCACCCACAUCCUUAAUGGCCAGCCUCAUCUCCAUGCCCAGGACGAUCUGAAGCCUCCCUCAAUAAUUCGACACCUGCACGAUGACCGAUCGUCAGAUCACAACACUCGGCUUGGGCAACGAAUUCGAGGGAUUUCUAGACCAAGCGUUGAGAGUACCUAGGGGUCACCUUGGUUUUUGUACACGACAAAGAGGAGUGCGGGAGGCGAGCCCCAACCCAUCGAGACCACGAUGCCUUGAGAGAAAGCUAGGAGAGGCGAUGGUGAAGCACGACAUCAUGGCGCAUGUGCCCUACGUCUCAACGCUACAGUUGAGCGUCGCCAUGUAGCCGCACAACAGCUUGCACUCCAUGAGUUACAUGCUAUCUUCGCUCACACGACGAACGCCAUCCGCCCGUCACUGAGACCCAUCCUCUCAACCCUGCUGCUCCACGAUCACGCGACGCCGUGUUAGUUAAUGCAGAAACAUAGGAGGCGGGCAUCGUAAGGUAAAAAGUCCGGUUUGGAUGGGAUGAAAGACGAACCAAAAUAAAGCAAAAUUGGACAGGGAAGGGGGUGGAUGAGGAGGCGAACAUACAACGAGGUCGGGGUGGCUGUGGCCGAAGCAUGAGGCUCGGCCUCCUCGCCGACGAUCAGAUCCGCCGUUAGAGAUGAUGAGGUCAUCAGCCCCGUGACCUGGAUCCCGCCAACAGGGUGAUGCAGAGGAGAGGUGCGGCGGCGUCCUACGGGUGAGGACGGCGGGGGAGGUGAGGGAGCAGCUGAGCGCGGUGGUGCGGCUGCGUCCCUCGGGAAGACGAACGGCGAGCGGCCCGAGGCGGGAGGCGGCGAGGGGGAGAGAAGAGUCGUGCGGUGCGGGGUGAAAGCCCGACUCGCUCGGUUUGUAGCAGGGUACUGCUAUAAUCGAAACAUUUCCUUUGAUGUAAAUUGACUACGUAUGGAAAGAUUAAUCAGUGAUUGACCGACUUAUGGUAAGUUAAUUAAUUUAGAUUUGAUUUUUAAAUAUUGAUUAGAGAUUAACCGUGAUUGAUUCUCUCCCAUAAAGACAUUACUAAAUAAUUUGUGUCCACAUGGAAAGUUCUGACUCGUUUGGCUUUCGGUACAUGGGAUGGUGGAAGGAAAGACGAAAAUAAACCGGACAAAAAUAAACCAGACGAAUAAUAACAGUGGACGCAAUCCUAGCAACUGCUCCAUUAAGAGUAGAGAUAAUGCCUCAGGAUGAGGAGGUCACGAUUAGGGUAUGGCAAGAAGACCUUUUUUGGAAAGCUUUGAUUCUGGUGAUAAUUACCAUAUUCGAAAUUUCUUUAGUUAUAGCCUUGCCAUACAUGGAUUGAUUUAUUACUAUAAUUAUCAUAUUUGAGAUUUCUAAGUUUAUAGCCUUACCAUACGUGGAUUAAUUGUGAUUGAUUACCAUAAAUACGUUGGGUAUUGUCGGCCAGACGAGAAAGAGAAAAACCGGUGGGAGGGGGGUGGUGGGAGGUGGGACGAAAGAAAACCGGUUGAAAAAAACCGAUUGAAAGUGGGGGGGGGGACUAUUCAACCAAUUCGUCCAUUAGGAGUAGACUCUCCCAUAAAGACAUUACUAAAUAAUUUGUGUCCACAUGGAAAGUUCUGACUCGUUUGGCUUUCGGUACAUGGGAUGGUGGAAGGAAAGACGAAAAUAAACCGGACGAAAAUAAACCAGACGGAUAAUGACAGUGGACGCAAUCCUAGCAACUGCUCCAUUAAGAGUAGAGAUAAUGCCUCAGGAUGAGGAGGUCACGAUUAGGGUAUGGCAAGAAGAACUUUUUUGGAAAGCUUUGAUUCUGGUGAUAAUUACCAUAUUCGAAAUUUCCUUAGUUAUAGCCUUGUCAUACAUGGAUUGAUUUAUUAUUAUAAUUAUCAUAUUUGAGAUUUCUAAGUUUAUAGCUUUACCAUACGUGGAUUAAUUGUAAUUGAUUACCAUCAAUACGUUGGGUAUUGUCGGCCAGACGAGAAAGAGAAAAACCGGUGGGAGGGGGGUGGUGGGAGGUGGGACGAAAGAAAACCGGUUGAAAAAAACCCGGUUGAAAAUAAGCCGGUUGAAAGUGAGGGGGACUAUUCAACCAAUUCGUCCAUUAGAAGUAGAGAUGUGGCUCCGUUGCAACGCACGGGCGUUCUUCCGGUAGAAAUCUAUUUUACGAAUUAUAAUUCGGCGAGCAGAUAACACCCACCCACCCCCUCCCCCUUACUUGACCUAGAACCUGGCCUCGGGCCGACGCCUCCUGCUCCCUCUCGCUGUCGCGUCUCCCGGCGAUCCUCUCCGUCGACGCCCCGGCUAGCCGCCAUCGUUUCCCGGCGACCAGAUCGACGGCAAUCCCAUCCUCCUUGAUCUCCCUCUCGGGCGUCGGGAGAUCUACGUGGGGACAUG